CCCAGACUCCUACGGGAGGCAGCAGUGGGGAAUAUUGCGCAAUGGGCGAAAGCCUGACGCAGCGACGCCGCGUGAGGGAUGAAGGUCUUCGGAUCGUAAACCUCUGUCAGCAGGGAAGAACGGUCACUGUGCUAAUCAGCAGUGAAUUGACGGUACCUGACUAAGAAGCCCCGGCUAACUACGUGCCAGCAGCCGCGGUAAUACGUAGGGGGCAAGCGUUAUCCGGAUUUACUGGGUGUAAAGGGAGCGUAGACGGUUACGCAAGUCUGGAGUGAAAGGCGGGGGCCCAACCCCCGGACUGCUUUGUAAACUGUAUAACUGGAGUGCAGGAGAGGUAAGUGGAAUUCC
rnacentral:rRNA from 1 species